GAAAGUAAAUAAGGGCGCAUGGCGGAUGCCUUGGCUCUCGGAGGCGAUGAAGGACGUGAUAAGCUGCGAUAAGCUUCGGGUAGGUGCAAAUGACCUUUGAUCCGAAGAUUUCCGAAUGGGACAACCCGGCAUUCUGAAGGAAUGUCAUCCAACUUGGUUGGAGGCUAACGCAGGGAACUGAAACAUCUUAGUACCUGCAGGAAAAGAAAAUAAAUAAUGAUUCCCCUAGUAGUGGCGAGCGAACGGGGAUUAGCCCAAACCACCCAUGUUACGGCAUGUGUGGGGUUGUAGGACCACGCUCUCGCAAGACAGUUAUUGAGAAGAAACGACUGGAAAGUCGUGCCAUAGACGGUGAUAGCCCGGUAUUCUAAGGUAACCGAAGCGUAGUGGUAUCCUGAGUAGCGCGGAGCACGAGGAAUUCUGCGUGAAUCAGCCGGGACCAUCCGGUAAGGCUAAAUACUCCCGAGAGACCGAUAGCGAACCAGUACUGUGAAGGAAAGGUGAAAAGCACUUCGAAUAGAAGAGUGAAAUAGUCCCUGAAACCAUGCGCCUACAAGCGGUCGGAGCAGCGUAAGUUGUGACGGCGUGCCUUUUGCAUAAUGAACCUACGAGUUACUUUUUCCGGCAAGGUUAAGCAUCUUGAGAUGUGGAUCCGAAGCGAAAGCGAGUCUGAACAGGGCGGAUAGUCGGAAGGAGUAGACGCGAAACCAAGUGAUCUACCCUUGGGCAGGUUGAAGGUUAGGUAACACUAACUGGAGGACCGAACCGAUAAGCGUUGAAAAGCUUCCGGAUGACCUGAGGGUGGGGGUGAAAGGCUAAUCAAACUUGGAGAUAGCUCGUACUCCCCGAAAUGCAUUUAGGUGCAGCCUUGAGAGUUACUAAUGUGAGGUAGAGCGACUGAUAAGAUGCGAGGGCUUCACCGCCUAUCAAGUCUUGAUAAACUCCGAAUGCGCAUUAGUUCUAUCUCAGGAGUGAGGGCAUGGGUGCUAAGGUCCAUGUCCUAAAGGAGAAGAAUCCAGACCAUCAGCUAAGGUCCCCAAAUAAACACUAAGUUGAACUAACGAAGUCAGAUUGCUAAGACAGCUAGGAUGUUGGCUUGGAAGCAGCCAUUCAUUUAAAGAGUGCGUAACAGCUCACUAGUCGAGGAGUUUGGCGUGGAUAAUAAUCGGGCAUAAGUGUUUUACCGAAGCUAUGGGAUCCUAAUGGAUCGGUAGGGGAGCAUUCCACUCAGCGUUGAAGGCGAAGCGUGAGCUUUACUGGAGCGUGUGGAAAAGCAAAUGUAGGUAUAAGUAACGAUAAAGGGGGUGAGAAACCCCCUCGCCGCAAGACUAAGGUUUCCUGAUCAACGCUAAUCGGAUCAGGGUUAGUCGGGUCCUAAGGCUCAGCCGAACGGUGAGGCCGAUGGCAGAACAGGUUAAUAUUCCUGUACUACCUGUAGGAGUGAUGUGGAGACGGAGGAGUGACAACGCCGCGGACUGACGGAAUAGUCCGUUAAAGGGUGUAGAUGUUGAUUAUCCCAGGCAAAUCCGGGAUAAGAGUCGAACCUGACAGUAUACCAAUUUCCCCGGAAAACGGUAAUAGUGCGUGUAAACAUACUCCCAAGAAAAUCCGCUAAACUUAAUCUUAUAGGUACCCGUACCGUAAACGGACACACGUAGUCGGGUUGAAUAUACUCAGGCGCUUGAGUGAAUCACGGUUAAGGAACUAGGCAAAUUGACCCUGUAACUUCGGGAUAAAGGGUCCCUACCCGGUGACGGGAGGGCGCAGAGAAUAGGUCCAGGCAACUGUUUAACAAAAACACAGGGCUGUGCAAAAUUGAAAGAUCACGUAUACAGCCUGACACCUGCCCGGUGCUGGAAGGUUAAGAGGAGAUGUCAUCGCAAGAGAAGCAUUGAAUUGAAGCCCCAGUAAACGGCGGCCGUAACUAUAACGGUCCUAAGGUAGCGAAAUUCCUUGUCGGGUAAGUU
rnacentral:rRNA from 1 species